GGASGGUGCGAGCGUUGCUCGGAAUCACUGGGCGUAAAGCGUACGCAGGCCGUUUUGUAAGUCGGGUGUGAAAGCCCGGGGCUCAACCCCGGAACUGCGCCCGAGACUGCAGGACUUGAAUGCGGGAGAGGAAAGCGGAAUUCCUGGUGUAGAGGUGAAAUUCGUAGAUAUCAGGAGGAACACCUGUGGCGAAAGCGGCUUUCUGGCCCGACAUUGACGCUCAUGUACGAAAGCGCGGGGAGCAAACAGGAUUAGAUACCCUGGUAGUCCGCGCCGUAAACGAUGAGUGCUAGCUGCUGGGAAUGUUUACCGUUUCAGUGGCGAAGCUAACGCAUUAAGCACUCCGCCUGGGAAGUACGGCCGCAAGGCUA
rnacentral:rRNA from 1 species